rnacentral:rRNA from 1 species
GAUGAACGCUGGCGGCGUGCUUAACACAUGCAAGUCGAACGGUGAACGAGGGAGCUUGCUCCCUCCGGAUCAGUGGCGAACGGGUGAGUAACACGUGAGCAAUCUGCCCUGGACUCUGGGAUAAGCGUUGGAAACGACGUCUAAUACCGGAUACGAGGCGUGAGGGCAUCCCCAACGCCUGGAAAGAACUUCGGUCCAGGAUGAGCGCGCGGCCUAUCAGCGAGUUGGUGGGGUAACGGCUCACCAAGGCGACGACGGGUAGCCGGCCUGAGAGGGUGACCGGCCACACUGGGACUGAGACACGGCCCAGACUCCUACGGGAGGCAGCAGUGGGGAAUAUUGCACAAUGGGCGUAAGCCUGAUGCAGCAACGCCGCGUGAGGGACGACUGCCUUCGGGUUGUAAACCUCUUUUAGCAGGGAAGAAGCGAAAGUGACGGUACCUGCAGAAAAAGCACCGGCUAACUACGUGCCAGCAGCCGCAGUAAUAC